GCCGGAUUGCCCGAGUGGUUGAAGGGGCUACAUUCGUAAUGUAGAUGCGCAAGCACGUCGCAGGUUCGAAUCCUGUGUCCGGCACCA
rnacentral:tRNA from 1 species